rnacentral:piRNA from 1 species
UGGUGAUUUCUAGGAAGUGACCUCACA